CCCGCCCCUCACCAUAGCCGGAGACCAGGAACACAGUGAACGCAUAUCUACAAAAAGGAGCAUGAGACGAGGUGAGGUGAGGAGAUGCUGCACGAAGAAGGAGGGGAGGGGCCUACCGGUGCUAGAUCCGGCCACCUCUGGCCUCGCCGUCGUCGCAUGUGGCAGAUUCCGACGAAGUUAAAGUGGCGGCCGGAACCCUAGCCACGGGUGAUGUUGCGGGCUUGCACUAGAGGGUGCGAGACACGGAUCUGACGGGAGGGGGGAAGAGCUCCGUGAGGGGAGCCCGGGGUGUGCUGCGCGCCGGCGAGAGCCGCCUCAACUCGCCGGAAUCGAGUGGAGCAGAGGAGUCGCGGGAGGGAGAGAGAGAGGGCUCGCGGGGGAGAAGGGCUCGCGGUGAGGGAAGGGGAUGGGAGAUAGGAGGAGGGCAUGGGGAAGGCCAUGGACGGCGGGGAGCUCGGCCGGAGGGAGGUGGAGGCGGCGAUCUAGAAAGGAGGAGGUGGCGGCUGCGAUCUGGAAGGGAGGAGGAGUGGUGUGCGGGCGGAUCUGGAAGGGGAGAGGAGGAGAAGAGAGCGAGG
rnacentral:rRNA from 1 species